rnacentral:lncRNA from 1 species
CUAUUAUCAUGACAAUAAUUUUGACCUCAUAGACACCCUGAAGGGAUUGGGGACACCCUGAGAGGUCUCUGGACCAUCCUUGGAGAACUGCUGUUCUAAAUGAGCCCUCCUCAGCAGUGGGAGGAAGAAAAGAAGGAAGAAAUGGCUUUUGGUUUGAGCCCAAGCAAAAGGGAGCUGACAGGGGUGCCAAGAGGCAGGAGAUGAGAAGAGAGGACAUUUCAGGCAUCAGGAAAACAACUUGUGCAGAGGAACAUUAAUGGGAGAAGGCUUAUGGAAUUAAUAGUAAAUAGACCAGGGUGGGUGGAUCAUAAAGUGCAUGAACAGAAUGGAGUAAGGUGCGAUGAGCCUGGAAAGCUAGCCUGGAGCCAGGUUGUCAAGGAUUUCUAAUGCCAAACAGAGACAUUUGUAUUCUAUUCUAAGGGUGAAGGGGAUACUUCCCCAAUAGAAAGGAAACUCGAAGCUCUUUGACGGCUAGAGACAGUCUUUUUCCUUUCUUUGUAUUUCCAACGCAUCGCUGUACCUGGAGGACAGUUGUUGCUUAAUAAAUGCUUAUUGACGACGGACCAACUAAGCUCCACUUUAGGACUAUUCAGAUAGAGGUGCCAUUUUAUCAAUAUCUUAUGCAGGUGCCUUUUGCCGCCAUGACUCUCAUCACAAGGUCUCUGCCUACCCAUGAUUCUUCGCUCCAUCCUCUUGUGAGGCUGCCGCCUCCGAAGUCCUGGGUACCUUCUAGAACUCUUACCACUGAGCAGAGACAUCACACAUCCCUUGUCCCUCUCUUGCACUCUAUGAAGGCACUCUCUUUAUCUGGGGAACUUUUCAUGGAAGGUUACCAAUGGUAGCCUGGAGAGUGUGCCAGUCCUUUUUGAGGUGCCAAUCUGCUUCCUCUGGAGAGAAUGAUUCCUAACCCGUCCCUGAAAGGAAGAUAAACAUAGGAGCAGAAGCCAGGGAGUUGUCUUCAUUAGUGGAAAUUUAUUGAUUAGGCCAGUUCUCUCCAUGACACUGAUGGCAAAUUAACCAGAUAUGAACAGAAAAAGCCCAGGAGAGAUAGCUAGUAUCAGCUCUGUGGACUUCUGUCUCUGCUUGGAAUCCUUGCUUGGUUGAGAAGAUGCUGGGAGUCAACCAGACCCUGGUGCUGCACUUCACUGGGGAAGGCACUCAGCAGAUCACCUUCCUCUUCUUUAUAAUAUGUACUCCUUAGUGCCUUUUUGUCAAGGAAGAAAGGGAAAGAAAGGCCGUGGGGCUGAGCAGUGACAACU